rnacentral:snRNA from 1 species
AUCGCUUCUCUGCCUUUUGGGUAAGAUCAAGUGUAGUAUCUGUUUCUAUUAGUUUAAUAUUUGAUAUAUCCUUAACAUUUUUUUAUAAAUAUAGCAGUCUUUACCACAAGGCAAUGUGAGUGAAGAAUCACAU